UAUGACUAAUUGAGGUAUGAUUUUUUUUUCCUUUUAUCAACUCCAUGGGAUCCCAUGUUAAAAGACCUUGAUGACGAAUCCUGUUCUUCCAUUUGGCUUCUUGCUUCUGAUUGUUUUCAUUCCUGCCUUGUUCCUAGCCUCCUAUUCUACUGUGCCAAUGACGGUAGGCUCACAGGUCAAGGGCCUACCCAGUAAGACUCCAUUCCAAGAGCCGCUGUGUGAAGACAUAGCAUGCUUCUCCUCCAGAAGAACCAUCUUAGAAGCAGACAGAAGCCCUCACCAGACAACUGAACCUGCUGGCACUUUGAUCUUGGACUUAGCAGUCUCCAGAACUCCUGGCAAAGAUAAAAACGUAUGAUGACAUGGUGUGCAGGUGAAGGGCGGAGGAAUUGAAUGAUGCACAAGAUGGACCACGCUCCCGGAAUCCUGAUACCAGAAAUACAUGGACAUGUCCAUUCUGAUGUACCCUUGACAGCAGAGUAUGAAUUGGAAAUGUGCUGGAGCCAGAUAGUAACAGCUUAUAAGAGGCAAAUGCCCAUCUCUUAACUCUGCUGUAUUCAGUGAUGUCAUGUUCGUAGUUUGAAAUCACCAUGGUGAGAAGUAUUGACACCACAGAAAUUGGCAAAGUUACAAAACAACCCCCCACCCCCGCCAGAGGUGGUUAUUAAACAUUUAUGAGCAUACCACUACUUAUAAUUUCUGAAGUCUCUGCCAGUUUAAUACCUUAAAAGUGACAUAUUGCUUUAAUUUGCAGUUCAAAAAUUAUAGAUGAGGCUGAGCAUUUUUUAGAUUAUCCGGAAUUUUACUUGUAAUUUUUCAAUGGGGAAUUAGUCUUUUUUUUACUGAUUUAUAAGACUUCUUAUAUCUUAAUAUCUUUAAGAAUAAAUUCUUUGUCAUAUUUGUAAAUAUUGUCUCCAUUCGAUUUGCCUGUUAAUGUUGCCUAUAAUGCCUUUUUGUGAAAUAAACUGUUAAAUUAUCUAAAGACAAAUCUAAAAUUCAUUUCUUUUGUGAUUUCUUCCAUUGCCUAUAUGCUUUGCCAUCCUCUAGCUCAGUCAUGUCUCCUUCCACAGGAUAGACAACUCACAGCCUCCGUGGCUCAGAUACACAUCCUUCUGAUUUCUCACA
rnacentral:lncRNA from 1 species